rnacentral:rRNA from 1 species
CCGCCCGUCACACCAUGGAAGUUGAUAUCGGCAGAAGACGUUGCGCCAACCGCAAGGAGGCAAACGUCCAAGCCGCUAUCGAUGACUGGGGUG